AAAUAUGAUUUAGUCAUUUGAAUAUCAUUUCCUUCUUUGCUAAGCGAGAAUAAUAUGCUUUAAAACAUAUUAAAAAUCAUUCGGAUACUCAGAAGAUUAUUUUUAAAUAUUGAAUAUAGGUUGGAAUUAGGGUAGAAUGGACUACAAAACAUGGAUUACAAAGCACACAGCACCCAUCACGUGACUACAACUGGUAUACUACUGGAAUAGUUGGAUUUGCAUGGUUUUUAAUUUAGUUGAUAUCCAGUUGUUAUUUUAAUGAUGAUAAUUUGACGUGUUCACUAUGAGAAUUAAGUUAAUAAAUGUUAAAUUAAAAUUUUGAAAUAAAGCUGAA